GGGAGCUGAUCCUGUGCCACACGUGCGAACACAUCUAAGACCACCUCUUCUGCUCAAAUUCCUGGCCCAAGAGGGACCUGCACAGAGUCAUCAGGACACAGGAUCCAAGGAACAGCCAGGGACUUUCCAGAAAAUCGGGAGUGCACAGGAAAACUGACGACGUGCCUUGAAAAACUCUCUGCUGCCAGAGGCUGGCCCAGCUGCACUGUGGCCAUUGUUGCUGUUCAAGUGGCGAAUGGGGAGCAGAAGAGUUGGGUGGAGAGACGAUGAGAAGCCAAUCCCACUCAGAGAGAACUGCACUAUGACCACACUUUGAUAACAGCCCCAAACUUAUCUACACUUGAAUUCUACCAACAAGGCAGAUGCCUCUGGGAUGUUACCAGAAGAAAAAACCAAGCAACAUCCUGGGCCAGGACAUCCAAAGCACCCAUAAACCAUGGAGAAGUUAGGCUCUGAAGACUGGCACUAGGCGGGUGAUGACUUUCCAAGCAGGCCUUCCUGAAAACCCACACAGACAGCAAGGUGCAGGUGCCAGCCAUCCUUGUGCCUCUUCCUCUACUGCAUUUGAAGAUGGGAUGUCCAGAUAAGGCUAUCGGGAAGGAGAUAAAGGUGCUUGCCUGAACCUCAGAGCCAAAACAACUGUGACUCCACCAUUUCCUGAAGACUGAACUGAGUUCCUCUCAGAACUUUAGCUCUGAACCAGGAACUGGGGCCAAACAUUGGCUGGUCUUCAGAAUACAACAGGCACUACUGGGCUUACACCAGAAUAUGCACCUUUGAGUUGUUUUGCUUUGCUUUGAUUUACAUUUUAAAGCUCCCAGGGCAUUCUUUUGUGUAGCUAGAGCAAAGAAACAUUGACUUGGGAAGUCAACAGGAAAGACUGACGGCAAAAAUCAGAACACCAAAAAAUAUUUCAGAAAAAAAAAUGGCACUAGACACACACCUCAACUCCUUAGAUCACGCCCCCAUCCCAUUUAUGUAUAUGAUGACUCAAAGAUUCCAGCUACCAACCACUGUCUUAAUAAAUUCUUUGAGGGACUGGCAUCCAGAGAGCUGAACCACCCUCUACAUUAGUACAGUUACCAAGCCGAGGUAUUCAUUAGACACAGCACUGACUUGGCUCUGGGACCUCAGCAGCUAUGGAAGCUGGGCUUGAUGCUUGGAACUGAUGUUAGUGAACUGGGAGACUUGCCAAAAUCCACUUUCAGUACAGCACUAGGCUCACAGGACUCAGAACAAAUGGUGACAGUGAUGCAUAAACAAUAAACUCAAAUUCAGAGGACACG
rnacentral:lncRNA from 1 species